CAUGACGGUUUAAGGUGGACGGGUGAAGGGGUCCCUCCAACGAACCUUCCACUUUCCACCUAACGGGAAGGCGCUUGCGCGAAGGCAUGGCCUUCGGAAGGCAUGGCCUUCGUGGAAGCGACGGCUCGUGCCACAGAAAGCAGACCGCCGAUGGCUCGCCGGCUGGCGACAGCCGACGGGCACAGGUAAGGGUGCAAGGGUGCGGUAAGAGCGCACCGGCGUGCGCGGUGACGUGCGCGGCCCGGCAAACCCCACGGGGCGCAAGGCCCAGCAGCAUUGCACCGGCGCUGCGCCGGAUAGGGCAGCCCACCGAAACGCUCGUUUCCAGCGUUGCAAUGCGGGUAGGCCGCUCGAGGCGGCCGGCGACGGCCGUCCAUAGAUAGAUGAUCGCGCUCCCCGCGCCCGGCGACCUCGGCGGCGCCGGGGCGGGCAGACCGAAUUCGGCUUACAGACCGGCACGUCCC
rnacentral:RNase_P_RNA from 1 species